UACGUAGGGUGCGAGCGUUAAUCGGAAUUACUGGGCGUAAAGCGUGCGCAGGCGGUUUUGUAAGUCUGACGUGAAAUCCCCGGGCUUAACCUGGGAAUUGCGUUGGAGACUGCAAGGCUGGAGUCUGGCAGAGGGGGGUAGAAUUCCACGUGUAGCAGUGAAAUGCGUAGAGAUGUGGAGGAACACCGAUGGCGAAGGCAGCCCCCUGGGCCAAGACUGACGCUCAUGCACGAAAGCGUGGGGAGCAAACAGG
rnacentral:rRNA from 1 species